rnacentral:rRNA from 1 species
GGAGGGCAAGUCUGGUGCCAGCAGCCGCGGUAAUUCCAGCUCCAAUAGCGUAUAUUAAAGUUGUUGCAGUUAAAAAGCUCGUAGUUGAAUUUCGGGAUCAAUUUAUUGGUCGUGCCAACGGUACGCACUGGUACAAUUGGUUUCUCCCUUCUGACGAAGCAUGAUGUCAUUAAUUUGAUGUCGUGGGGAAUCAGGACUGUUACUUUGAAAAAAUUAGAGUGUUUAAAGCAGGCUUUGGCUUGAAUACAUUAGCAUGGAAUAAUGAAAUAGGACGUUUGAUCUUAUUUCGUUGGUUUCUAAGAUCGACGUAAUGAUUAAUAGGGAUAGUUGGGGGCAUUAGUAUUCAAUCGUCAGAGGUGAAAUUCUUGGAUUUAUUGAAGACUAACUACUGCGAAAGCAUUUGCCAAGGAUGUUUUCAUUAAUCAAGAACGAAAGUUAGGGGAUCGAAGACGAUCAGAUACCGUCGUAGUCUUAACCAUAAACUAUGCCGACUAGGGAUCGGACGAUGUUAAUUUUUCUUGACUCGUUCGGCGCCUUACGGGAAA